rnacentral:rRNA from 1 species
UCUAGAAGCUUCGGCAAUGGGCGAAAGCCUGACCGAGCGACGCCGCGUGCGGGAUGAAGCCCUUCGGGGUGUAAACCGCUUUCGACGGGGAAGAAGGUUCGGAUGGUGAAUCCGGAUUUGACGGUACCCGGAGAAGAAGCACCGGCUAACUCCGUGCCAGCAGCCGCGGUAAUACGGAGGGUGCAAGCGUUAUUCGGAUUUAUUGGGCGUAAAGGGCGCGUAGGCGGUCGGGUAAGUCUGGUGUGAAAACGCUACCGCUCAACGGAGCGAAUGCGCUGGAUACUGCCUGACUUGAGUGCGAGAGAGGUGAGCGGAAUACCUGGUGUAGCGGUGGAAUGCGUAGAUAUCAGGUAGAACACCCGUGGCGAAGGCGGCUCACUGGCUUGCUACUGACGCUGAGGCGCGAAAGCGUGGGGAGCAAACG